rnacentral:tRNA from 2 species
UGCGUGGUUUUUUCAGCCCCUGCUAAGGGCGUAGGUCGGGAAACCGGCGCGAGGGUUCAAAUCCCUCCUUCUCCGCCA